CUCAAUUGAGUUCCAAUGGGGUCGCUGUGUCCAUUUCUUUUACUGUCUAUGCACAGCACUCGACAGCCAAUGAAAACUGGCAUGGACAAGUUGCUGAGUACAGCAGAGGAUGUGAGCAAGAUGCAGGAAGAGUUGGAGAUGAUGAGGCAUCAGCUGCAGGAAGCAGCCAAGGACACUGUGAUCACCAUGGAGAAAAUUUAAGAAGACACAGUGGAAGCUGAGGAGACCUGUGUAGCGGUGCAGGCUGAGGAGGCUAAAGCCAUUGAAAAGUCACAUGCCAUCGCUGAUGACGCUCAGAGAGAUCUGAAUGAAGCGCUUCCUGCCCUCGCUAGCCUAAAGUCGCUGAAAAAGAAUGAUGCCGUUGAGGAGCGUGAUAACACAUUAGCUGUGAUGAAGCUGAGUGACAGAGACUUUCUGCAUAGUUUCGAAAAUGCUAUCCACUUUGAAAAGUCCUGCUCGCUGGAGAAUGUUGGGGAGGAGCUAGACCCUGCUUUGGACCCUGUGCUCCUACGACAGGUACACAUCACUGUUUAGUGUGCAUAAAUCAUAAAAUAAGGCACAAAAAGUGCUACAGCCACCAAAUGACAUUCUGAACAUUCUGGCUUCAAGCAUGUUUUUUUUUAAAAAGUUUUUAGGCUGUGAGGUGGAUUCUGAAUUUCACGUGUUGGGUUUAUGUCCGUGUUCAAACAGUGGGCUAGAGGAUCAGCUACAAGGGUGUCUCGCUGCUGAAGAGAGACCCGGUCUGGAAAGGGCAAAGAUCUAACUCAUUGUGAGUAACGUACACAUAAAACAGGAGAUAAAAGAGAUUGAAGGUCAUAUCCUGAACUGAUAAGAAUGCUUGCGGCCUCCAAAGUCGAAGCCGAAGAAAUUCCGCUAUGUCUGAAGGAAAAACCUUUGUCUUCCUUUC